GACGAACGCUGGCGGCGUGCCUAAUACAUGCAAGUAGAACGCUGAAGGAGGAGCUUGCUUCUCUGGAUGAGUUGCGAACGGGUGAGUAACGCGUAGGUAACCUGCCUGGUAGCGGGGGAUAACUAUUGGAAACGAUAGCUAAUACCGCAUAAUAGCAGUUGUUGCAUGACAACUGUUUGAAAGGUGCAAUUGCACCACUACCAGAUGGACCUGCGUUGUAUUAGCUAGUUGGUGGGGUAACGGCUCACCAAGGCGACGAUACAUAGCCGACCUGAGAGGGUGAUCGGCCACACUGGGACUGGGACACGGCCCAGAAUCCUACGGGAGGCAGCAGUAGGGGAUCUUCGGCAAUGGACGGAAGUCUGACCGAGCAACGCCGCGUGAGUGAAGAAGGUUUUCGGAUCGUAAAGCUCUGUUGUAAGAGAAGAACGAGUGUGAGAGUGGAAAGUUCACACUGUGACGGUAUCUGACCAGAAAGGGACGGCUAACUACGUG
rnacentral:rRNA from 1 species